AUACGUAUGUCGCAAGCGUUAUCCGGAUUUAUUGGGCGUAAAGCGCGUCUAGGCGGCUUAGUAAGUCUGAUGUGAAAAUGCGGGGCUCAACCCCGUAUUGCGUUGGAAACUGCUACACUAGAGUACUGGAGAGGUAGGCGGAACUACAAGUGUAGAGGUGAAAUUCGUAGAUAUUUGUAGGAAUGCCGAUGGGGAAGCCAGCCUACUGGACAGAUACUGACGCUAAAGCGCGAAAGCGUGGGUAGCAAACAGGAUUAGAUACCCUGGUAGUCCACGCCGUAAACGAUGAUUACUAGGUGUUGGGGGUCGAACCUCAGCGCCCAAGCUAACGCGAUAAGUAAUCCGCCUGGGGAGUACGGCCGCAAGGCUUAAACUCAAAUGAAUUGGCGGG
rnacentral:rRNA from 1 species